CAUCAUUAUCUGUUUGUUUUGGCUAAAUAAAAUUAAAUAGGAAUGCCACAUCUGAAAUGAGUUACACCAGAUAGUAAAGGUGAUGCAUCUUCUAAUAUUCCCAGGCAUGUUAAAAAAAUGAAAUAUUUAAGAUAAUUUAUAGGUGAUGAAACGUUUUUCAUGAUAAGAAAGCUUUCAUUUUGACUGAUGUAUUUAUUAAUUUUGCCUCCAUAGUCUUUAUUAUUUAUAUAUUAAUGCCAAAAUCACUUCACGCAUGAUCAAGCUUGUGGGGAUGACAGCAGUCUAAUCAGAGCAGUGUAGCUCUGUUGAACUUUGAUUCAUGUGAGUUAUGUCAAAUGUUGUAUGUAUGGCCACUUUCCUGGUUUCAGAAGUUGCUCUAAAUCAUGAGUGAACAAAUACUAAAUGCUCCACCUGCUAGCGGGCCAUUCAUGUGUUCAGCCUUCGUUUAACAACUGUCAUCUGAUGUUUCUAAAUGCCACAUAUUUAUAAUUUGGCUGCCAUGACAUGGUCGUACACAUUUCUACACUCAGCAUAUUUGUUACUUGGGUAAACAUGACCUUUGAACUGCUUUGACAUGUGUCUAAAAUUUCAG
rnacentral:misc_RNA from 1 species